AGUCCCAGGCUCUGCCCUGUUCUAUUUCCAAAAGAUGAAGGAAAGCAGGCACCGCAGACACCACAGAGCAAGUCUCACCCUAAGAGGCUGAAUGAUGUCACCCAGAACCCUGGAAGCCCACAGAAGUAUUACCCUUUAAGAAAAAAAGCCAGGUACUCCCUCUGGCAUUUAUUUAAGGACACGUAGAGACCCUGUCACUAUCCCCAACAAUAAAUACCAAUGUUGCCUUGGUGUAUGACUGGAGGAGGAAGCAAGAUCACAAUCCCAGAUGACUGAAUCCAACUUCACAAGGAAGACCUGAUCUUGGCAAAAGCCAAGGUUUUUCAAACUCAUCCCUUUGGGGGUUGCAGUGUUUAAAAGUAAAUUUCUUCCCACCACUAAAACUCGCUGGGUGGAAAUAGCCCUUGGAAGAAUGGAAACCCAUGUCCCUCUGCAGCAAUCCAGUCUGCCUCCCAACGCUCAGAAAUGUGCUGUGCUCAGCAUUUCUGUGCUGAUGCAGCAUCCAUGGUCAAAAAGGCGGGCGGCUGCAGCAGCCACAGCAGCAGUUGCUCUAGGGGGUGGAAAUCAGAUUGCACCAUUUCUACCUCAUUUGGCAGCAGAAGCACCGAGUCACAAGGAAGACGAGGUUCUAGUCCAGAAGCAGCUGGGCUAUAUCACUUUAAAGGUGGUAAAAAAAUGUCUUCAGCUAAUGUCGUGGAGCACUUACUAUGACAAGGUGUUGUGUUAAGUGUCUAUCACGCGUUGUGCCAUCUUAUCCUGAUGACAACUCUCUGAGGUAGGUAUAACUAUUAGUCCUCUAAAAGAGAACCUCAGAAGCUUGGGGUCCUGUCAGCACUGUGCUCAGGCCCAGUGCAAAAGCAAAUCAGCAGACCCUUCAAACCCCACCCUCACUGUGCCAGCAUAUUUUUAGCCUUCUCAUCUGAACCUCCUCUGCACACAUACUUUGCCGACCUUUCCUCUUUGAUUUCCAGCUACCUAGUAAUGGGGCAGGGAGCUUUGGAAAGGUGCUUCACUCCUCUGGGCCUCAAUGUCCUCAUGGCCUCGCCCUGAGAUUUUCUCCCAUCUCUGACCACCACACAUGCAUCAGGGCCAAGACAGCCAGGCAGCCCAAGGGGGCAGUGUCCCCAUCCUGCUCAAGCUCCGUUUCUGUGGGAGCUUCUGAGACUUUCAGGAUUCAAAAACGUUCCCCAGGAUUCAGGAGGCGUUCAUAGAUGUGUUUUCCCCUAUUUCAUAAUUUGUUGUUUUCACAUUGCUUGUUUAUAACGGGUCAACUAUAGGGUACAUCAUGAAACAACCCUUCCCCAGGUUCCCCUUCUGCUCAGGCCAGAGCCGGCCAUGGACCCUGCAGCACGUGGCGUUACAUUUCACCUGCCCACUUUCCUGAACCCUCUUUUACUGGAGGGGAGGGUAUGACAGGAGCAGGGGUCAUGCCUGGCUCCCCCUUUUAGAGAGAAACAGAAAAAUAAGUGCCAAGAUCUGUGUCCCCCAAGCACCGCUCAGCAGAUUAGGGCUUCCCAAAAUACUGAGAAUUGAUGUUACAUUUUUUUGAAAUUCCCUUAGAAGUAUAAGGUGACAGCGAGGGGACAGUUAGGGAGUUAAGUUUGUCCUGCAAACUUCAGGAGGGAGCCUCCUGAGCAGGGAGCAGGGAAGAGAACAAAGGAAGAUUGGAGCUCUGGGUCCCAGCCCUGCACCCUCCAUGGGGGAAAGUGCUUUGUCCAGGGUAACCA
rnacentral:lncRNA from 1 species